AGUGAACGCUGGCGGUAUGCUUAACACAUGCAAGUCGAACGGUAGCACAGUGAGAGGUGGUUCUGACGGGCGGCGGGGGGCGUACGGGAUAGGAAUACGUCCGAAUCUAGGUGUUCGCUGGUGGUAACGGUAGGAAACUUACCCUAAUACCGCAUACUGAAUACGGGGGAAAGCAAGGGAUCUUCCGACUUUGCUCGACGGAAUGAGACGAUGUCGGAUGAGGUAGUUGGCGGGGUAAAGGCCCACCAAUGCAACGAGUCGUAGCGGGUCGGAGAGGACGACCAGCAACACGGGGACUGAUACACGGACCAGACUCCUACUGGAGGAAGCAGUGGGGAAGUUUGGACAAAGGGCGCAAGCCUGAUCCAGCAAUGCCGCGUGCAGGAAGAAGGCCUUCGGGUUGUAAACUGCUUUUGUACGGAACGAAACGGCUCUGGUUAAUACCCGGGGCUAAUGACGGUACCGUAAGAAUAAGCACCGGCUAACUACGUG
rnacentral:rRNA from 1 species